UGCCGAGAGCGGGGACAGCCAAGGGGCCCUUCCCUCAGGCGCCCGGGGGGUUCCCUCGGCGCCCGCCCUAACGUGACCCUCUCGGCGGAGGGGCGGCGGUGGGUCCCCAGCGAGCCGGUGCCGUCGGGCCCCGGUGCCUCUGCCCGCGGGCCCCGUCGGGCUUUGCACAGCCAAAAAUUAAAAUGUGUGAUGAUGGUCUCCCAGACAAUUGGCGUAUUGGGGAGAAAUGCCUUGCUCCUGGUUUUGAAAAUGGAAAACUUCAUGAAGGAACAAUAACUUCUCUUGAAAAGGACAAGAAUGGAAAAUCAUUUGCUGUUGUAUCAUUCUUGGAGUCUGAAGAAAGGAAAGUACUAAUAACAAAACUUUGUAAAGUCAAAGACAGUAGAGGACCCUGGAAAAGCUUAAUAUUUGAUGAGGGUGAUCUGGAAAAGCCUUAUUUUCCUGACCGAAAUCUUCCAUCUCCUGCGGUUGCGUUUAAAUUGUCUGACAAUGGCGAUUUUAUCCCAUAUACAAUUAACAGAUACCUGCGUGAUUAUCAAAGGGAAGGAGCCCAGUUUUUGUAUAGACACUAUGCUAACAAAAGAGGGUGUAUUCUUGGAGAUGAUAUGGGCCUUGGAAAGACAAUACAGGUCAUUUCAUUUUUGGCUGCAGUGUUGCACAAAAAGGGAACACAUGAGGAUAUUGAAAAUAAUAUGCCGGAAUUUUUACUGAGGACAAUGAAAAAGAGCUCAGAUUGCAACCCCAAGAAGACUUUCCUCAUAGUGGCCCCUCUUUCAGUGCUGUACAAUUGGAAGGAUGAAUUAGACACAUGGGGAUACUUUAAGGUCUCUGUCUUACAUGGCAGUAAAAAAGACGAUGACAUGAGUCGCAUCAAGCAAGGUAAAUGUGAAGUUGCUCUUACAACAUAUGAGAUACUUCGCCUGUAUUUGGAUGAAUUUAACAGUAUAGAGUGGUCUGCUGUGAUAGUGGAUGAAGCACACAGAAUAAAGAAUCCAAAGGCUCAAAUAACUCAAACCAUGAAGUCACUAAAAUGCAGUGUUCGCAUAGGUCUUACUGGAACCAUUCUUCAAAACAAUAUGAAGGAACUUUGGUGUGUUAUGGACUGGGCUGUACCAGGACUUUUAGGUAGCAGAGUACAUUUCAAGAAGAAAUUUUCUGAUCCAGUGGAGCACGGCCAGAGGCACACUGCAACUAAAAGAGAGCUAGCAACAGGUCGUAAGGCCAUGGUGAAGCUAGCAAGAAAAAUGUCUGGCUGCUUUUUGAGACGUACCAAAGCACUUAUCAGUGAUCAGUUGCCAAAAAAGGAAGACAGAAUGGUAUUUUGUUCCUUAACUGAAUUCCAGAAAGCCGUGUACCAGGCUGUGCUAGAGACAGAUGAUGUAACCUUGGUGUUAAGAGCAGGAGAACCCUGCAGCUGCAAUAGUGGCCGGAAAAGGAAGAACUGUUGUUACAAAGUAAAUGCACAUGGUGAAACAAUUAAAUCAUUGCGCUUCAGUUACCUAAUGAUCCUACAGAAGGUUGCAAAUCAUGCUGCACUGCUGCAGAUGGACAGCACUAGCAAACUGCAGGAAGCACAUAUCAAACGAGUUUGCAGCCAGGUAUUUUCCAGUUUUCCAGAUUUUGUGCAGUUAAGCAAGGAUGCAGCCUUUGAAACAAUUUCAGAUCCAAAAUAUAGUGGAAAAAUGAAGGUCCUUCAGCAGCUUUUAAAUCACUUCCGAAAAAAUAAGGAUAAAGUUCUUCUUUUCUCCUUUUCUACAAAGUUGCUAGAUGUGCUGGAACAGUACUGCAUGGCAUCCGGGCUAGAUUACCGAAGACUUGAUGGAAAUACAAAAUCAGAAGAUAGGAUCAGAAUAGUGAGGGAGUUCAACAGCAUUCAGGAAAUUAACAUAUGUCUUGUAUCUACAAUGUUGAACACUAGGGAAAAAUAAGUAUACCCCUGUUGGAACUUCUAAGUCUCAUGAAGUAAUACCUGUUUGAGAAUACUUCAGUCCUGCACUGGUGUUGGAAAAUGCAUGAUUAUUUAGAAGAAGAGAAGAGAAAUUUUAGGCAUGCUUAGAAACAUUAAAAUAAUUCCUGGAGUUGGUGUAACUCGACAGGAGAAUAUCAAAGAUUUCAAUACCAGUGAUGCUGCUUAGCCAUAAGAAGGGAAACUAUAUGUACAGCACCAAAGUCAGCACAGUUCUGUCCUGUCUUAGUGUUCGGGAAUAAAUAAAAGCAGGCUGGUGGACUGGGUCUUAAUUUUGUUGGUGCCAAUGUUGUUAUACUGUUUGAUCCUACAUGGAAUCCAGCAAAUGAUCUUCAAGCUA